rnacentral:rRNA from 1 species
UACAGAGGGUGCAAGCGUUGUUCGGAAUCAUUGGGCGUAAAGCGCACGUAGGCGGUCUGCUAAGUCGGGUGUGAAAGCCCCAGGCUCAACCUGGGAAGUGCACUCGAAACUGGCGGACUUGAAUGUCGGAGAGGGUGGUGGAAUUCCGAGUGUAGAGGUGAAAUUCGUAGAUAUUCGGAGGAACACCAGUGGCGAAGGCGACCACCUGGACGAACAUUGACGCUGAGGUGCGAAAGCGUGGGAGCAAACAGG